GAUUACAUAUGUACAGAUUAAGCGAGUAUCUGGCAAACGCGAGUGUCACUUUUAUCAGAGGGGCUUUAGACGCUUUAGCAGGCACUAAUUUUGACAAGACACGUGAUGCACAUAGGUUCACUCGACGCGCAGAACACAUAUUUUGAAAUGAUGAACCACACACACGAUUGGCUAAAUACAUGUUGUGAUGAGCUUUGCAUCAUGUUCCCUCGAAAAAGAAGUAACCGGCCAACACUGAUGUUGAAUGUGGAAAUGUUUAUCCUAUAGUACUAGUUAGAAAAAAAAUAUUCACUUUAUCGCAAUUCCAAUGAAGUUUAAUUUUUUGUUUCCAAGCAUAUACUAUAUUGUGGGAAAAACAUCUUCCAUGCUUCACAAUGCCAUAGAAGAACAAUUUUUGUCUAAAUGAUUCUAGAACCUUCAACAUCUGAAGAACCUUUUGGUGAAAAAAGGUUCUUCAGAUUACAAAAAGGUAAGAAAAAAUAGUCCUUUAAAGACCUCAGACUGAAUGGUUCUUUGAGGAACCAAAAAUGGUUCUUCUAAAUAUGUGUUGGCUAUGAAGCACCUUUAUUUUUAAGAGUGUAUAUGUUAAUUUUACAGACAUUUCCAUUAACCUCCAAAGCACAACUCAAUAAAGUGCAAAUUCAAAAAACAGCAAAACAGCUGUAAAACGCAAUGUGGAAAAAAAUCCACAUUGCAGUAUGUUUAGAGUGCAGUAUGUUUAUGUACUUUUCUAAUAAAUUGUUAAUCGCUUGUCAAGGGGUCCAAUGAGAGAUGGCUUUCUGAAAUACUGCCAAGAUUAUCUGAAAUCUUGAGACUUCAAGACCCUGGGAGCCUGAAACUUGAGAUAGUUGCACUAGCAAGAAUCUAUCCUGACCUAAGUGAGCAACAUGUUGUUGCUGUCUUAACCCUGAAAAGCAACCUAUCAAGCUCGGAUGUGUGUGGGAUCAAAGAUUGUUUGCGUGAUAACAGGGAGACACAGGACGAUCAGUCCUCACCAUCUUUCUUUUCCAAAGUAAUUGUGAAAAAGAAAAUCUUUUAAGUGUGCUAUUUUAUCUGUACAUAAAUGUGAUACACAUAUCAGUAUUGAAGCAUUUAAUGCAUUGAGUAUGUAAUUUGCCUUCCGGACGGGGGAUGAACGGGCAUGCUGCGUUGGCCCUGCGCUGUGGCAAAUUCCGGAUGCUGCCGCAGUGCUGGCUGCCGGGGUGCCUGUGUGGCGUGCUCCCCAGGCUGUCGCGACGUCAACUAUGGGGAGGCGUCUUCAGGAUUGAUCACUGUGAAUGAUCCAAGGACUGCUGGGUCCAACUGUACAGGCUCAAUUCAGCACAAGCGGCAGCUCAACUCCCGUGGCUGGUCAGGUAACCAUUGGCCAACAAAAAACAUCCCAGAGUUCAAAUACAACUCCAUCAAAUGCCCCUAGUGAUGAGCUAAAUUGUUAAUCUAAUCAGCUACAAAAAUAACACUGGAUUAAAUCCAGCAAUUAAGAAGCUACGAAAAUUGAACUUCUUUCAAACUGUUAACAGAGCUAAAAUACUGUGGGAUCUUGGUGCUAAACCAAAUAUUUGCAGUAUUGUCCCAAAAAGUGAACAAACUAAUCAUCUUCUUACAGGUUCUAAUCUAGAUUUCCUCUGUUUGUCGGAGACAUGGCUUCAUAAAAACCACCCAUGGCUAUAAUGCCAUUAGGAGAGAUAUGGCGCUUUUCCAUUGCAUAGUACCCCACGGUUUAGUUUAGUUUGGGUCGGGUCAGCUCACCUCACUUUGGCGUGGUUAGCUUUUCCAUCGAGUUUAGUAUCACUUCGGAGUGGGAGGUAUUAUAUGCGUGUCGUUAUAUUUGCGCUGCCUACUGCUGUGACAUCCUACAAGUGAGAGCGUCGUUGUACAUUCCCAUACAUUUAUUAUUUCUCCACCACAAAUAGAUGUUUGCACAUCGCGUUUAUCACUACCUUUGUAUCACAUGACAGUUGCUGUUCAAACAACCGUGCAUAUAAUGCUGACGUGCUCGUCGCGAAUGUUCCGCCACAAACUGCAAGUUUGGAAAAAACUGUUAUGAUGUCCCUGAUUCUCAACCUGUGGAUGUUUUUCAUCGCUAAAAGGGAGUUUGGGAACUUAUAGCAGAGCACAGAUGACAACAUGUUUGCUCGAGACAGCGCAAGCUAGCACUAAAGCUAAUCUUUUACAUUAUAGCGAUGACGCUGGUAGUGACGAAUCUCUCAGAACAAUCAAACAAAACUACAGAUUGACAGACAUAUCUUCACUUCACCUAGAAAUAAGGUAACAAAGGACAUCCCAGUGGCAAAAGCUAAUUUCUUUGUAAGUUUGAUAGGGGAAGCUAAGGGAAAUCCCAAACAAAUCUGAGACAAUUAAAAAAAAAUCACUGGAAAACUGCCUAAUGACAUAACAGAACAGCUAGAAAUUAACGACAACGGCUGCCUGCUAAAAGGAGCUGUUGAAACAACAACACUGCUUGACUCUUAUUUUGUGAGCUCUGUACUUCAAGAUUUACCUUCUAGAGAUGUCUCUCAACCGGUCUUUCCCUAACAAAUGUAACUGAAUCUGUAGUUAGAACAACUUUGAAUUCUCUUAAAAAUUCCAAAUCUAAGGAUGUUUUUGGACUGGAUGUCAUGCUUAUAAAAAGCCAUAUCGAUACCUUAAUUAGGCCCAUAACAAAGUUAAAUAAUGCCUCAAUUUCCGAAAGAUUGGAAGUCAGCUAUAGUUGUCCCAAUCUAAAAACGGGGGACCCAACUGAUGUGAGUAACUACAGACCUAUUAGUAUUUUACCAGUUGUUUAAAAAAUUGUGGAGAAAUGUGUUGUUGAACAAAUUACCAAUCAUCUCAACACUAGCCCUUACACACUGCAUUCUAUGCAAUUUGGUUUUAGAGUAAAUCAUUCAACUGAGACAGCAAAUUGCUUCCUUUUGGAGAACAUCAAACUUUAACUAGAUAAAAGAGGUGGUGUUGUAUUCCUUGAUGUUAAAUAUCCUUUUGAUACUGUCAGUAAUCUCAACAAAUACUCAUUUCCAGAUUAGCCAAUUUUAAUUUCCCAACAAACGCGCUAAACUGGAUAAAGCCUUAUCUUGCAGAUAGAGUUCAGUGUGUAAGAGUGGGUAAUGAAACAUCACCUUUUCUGAUCAAUGAGAUGGGUGUGCCACAGGGUUCAAUUUUAGGACCUCUUUUGUUUAGCCUAUAUGUAAAUAACUUGCCAUCAAUUGUACAGGAUGUGAAAUUCAGAUGUAUGCAGAUGAUACCGUAAUAUACAUCCAUGCAAAAAAAAAAAAGAAGCAACUCUUAAACUUAACUCAACAAUGGAAAAUAUGAAAAUAUAACUAUAUGGCUUGAAAACUCUCACCUGUGUCUAAAUGUAACUGUUUGCAUGUUUUUCUCAAAGACAUACUCUGCCUCAGACUGUGAGCACAAAGUCUAUGUGUCUGGUGAGAAUACUCAAGUUGUUUCUCAUGUCAAAUAUCUUGGUAUCAUCUUUGACUCCAACUUGUCUUUCAAGAAACAAGUGGAAAACCGAAUAACUAAACACAAUAUCGCCAACUUUAGGUAUAUAAGACGCUGCCUCACAACUUCAGCAGCAAAAUAAUAUUUCAAUGAUUCAAUGAUUAUUCCUCAUCUACUAUAUUGUAUGACAAGCUGGACGCAAGCAAAAGACGCAACCCUGAAACCUGUUUUUUGUCUUUAUAAACAGGCACUGAAAGUGCUAGACAGAAUAGGCAACACGUAUCAUUAUUGUAAAAUUAUUCACAAAUAUGACAUCUUUAGUUGGGGAAAUUUGAUUAAAUACAAUGCACCUAAUUUAUAAGAUCCUGAAUGGUAAAGCUCCUCCACCACUAAAUUCUUUUAUUAUACAAAAAAUUCGAAUAAUUGAACCACUCGGUCAGUUCUGAGAGGGGACUGUGAAACCCCUUACAGGUCCAGCUCCUUCAGUCAGUUGUGCUUUUCUGUUAGAGCCUCAAAUACGUGGAAUACUCUACAAAAUUAAAUAAGAAAUUGUACUACAUAUCAUCAUUUUAAAAAAGUCUCAAGGCUCUUGGAUAGUCAGACAUGUGAACACUUUUAAUCACCUAAUAUUUUUUAUACUAUAGU